UGUGGCCCCUGUUUGGUAAAAGAGUGGGGGUGGCACAGAGCAGGCCCAGGCGACUGUUUAACAAAAACACAGCCAUCUGCGAACCAGUAAUGGGACGUAUAGGUGGUGACACCUGCCCGGUGCUGGAAGGUUAAGAGGAGAUGUGAAGUAAGAGCUGAAGCAUUGAAUUGAAGCCCCAGUAAACGGCGGCCGUAACUAUAACGGUCCUAAGGUAGCGAAAUUCCUUGUCGGGUAAGUUCCGACCCGCACGAAUGGUGUAACGAUUCUGGGCACUGUCUCAACGUGAGACUCGGUGAAAUUUAUAUACCGGUAAAGAAGCCGGUUACCCACAGUUAGACGGAAAGACCCCGUGAACCUUCACCGUAACUUACUAUUGGGAUUCUAUUUAUCAUGUGUAGAAUAGGCGGGAGACAGCGAAGUGUGGCCGUUAGGUUGCAUGGAGUCGGCCGGUGAAAUACCGCCCUUGGUGAAUGGAAUUUCUAACGCUGACCUUGAAGCAGGUAAGCGGACAAUGGUAGGCAGGCGGUUUGACUGGGGCGGUCGCCUCCCAAAAGGUAACGGAGGCGCGCGAAGGUCUCCUCACGCUGGUUGGAAAUCAGCGCACGAGUGUAAAGGCACAAGGAGGCUUGACUGCGAGACUGACAGGUCGAGCAGGUACGAAAGUAGGUCUUAGUGAUCUGGCGGUAGCGAGUGGAAGCGCCGUCACUUAACGGACAAAAGGUACUCCGGGGAUAACAGGCUGAUCUUCCCCAAGAGUUCACAUCGACGGGAAGGUUUGGCACCUCGAUGUCGGCUCAUCGCAUCCUGGGGCUGGAGCAGGUCCCAAGGGUUUGGCUGUUCGCCAAUUAAAGCGGUACGUGAGCUGGGUUCAGAACGUCGCGAGACAGUUCGGUCCCUAUCUGCUGUGGGCGUUGGAUGAUUGAGAGGGGCUGCUUUUAGUACGAGAGGACCGAAGUGGACGAACCUCUGGUUUACCAGUUAUUCUGCCAAGGGUAAGUGCUGGGUAUCUAAGUUCGGAAGGGAUAACCGCUGAAAGCAUC
rnacentral:rRNA from 1 species